rnacentral:lncRNA from 1 species
ACUUCCCCGGCCGUGCCGUCAGGGGCGCUCCAGAGCAGCCCCGGUGCCCACGUCUCAUCGCAGCCCUCUGGCAGGACAGCGCGCGUCUAAACUAAGCCGAGGCGCACUUCGCUAAGGGGACCUCUCCGUUUGGACAAUCCCGACGCCCGGCUCUACGUGAGGCGUUUUUCCCUCGUUCUCAUUCAUGGGCGGCGCUGGGCAUUCUCUGCCAUCCUUAGGGGUCCUCCACAGCAUGCGGGAGGCCGGCGCCCCAGGGCUCUUUCACCCCCCGCUGCUCUCGUUCCUCCACGUGUUCUCCCGAGCGACCCACCCGCGUUCAUGGUCCCAAACCCCCACCUAACCUCCAGCCAGCGCCCUUCUCCCGAGCUCCAGGCCCCUCCAGCUCCAGUGUGGGCAUCGUCCCCUGGUUCUCCUCAAGUCCACUUACACUCAGCCUCUUCCAGGCGGAAUUCCUCAUCUCCCACACAACCCUUUGCCGCUCUGGUAUCAGCUGGUGGCUUCUCCGUGGCCAUGCAGAGAAUAGAGACAGAACUUGAAACUGAUGUGCACAUGAGUGAGAUUCUUCAGCAAGGUGACAGACAGGAGGGUAAAGAGGAAAUGCUCCUGCCGGGCCUGAGUCUCCCCGACGAGCGCUGCCCCAUGUUCCACGGCGCCCGAUCCCAUCCACUGCCCAAGGUCUGAGGAGUGCCAGCGCACGGCGACGGAGUGGCAGGCAGCUCCACCUGCGGCCCCGGUGUGAGAUCCACUGGAUGAAGCCAGCUGGACUCCUGAGUCUGGUGGGGACUUGGAGAAUCUUUAUGUCUAGCUGGGGGAUUGUGAAUGCACCAAUCAGCACUCUGUAUCUAGCUCAAGGUUUGUAAACACACCAAUCAGCACCCUGUGUCUAGCUCAGGGUUUGUGAAUGCACCAAUCGACACUCUGUUUCUAGCUAAUUUAGUGGGGCCGUGGAGAACUUUUGUGUCGAACUCAGGGAUUGUAAACGCACCAAUCAGCACUCUGUCAAAAUGGACCAAUCAGCUCUCUGUAAAACAGACCAAUCGGCUCUCUGUAAAAUGGACCAAUCAGCAGGAUGUGGGUGGGGCCAGAUAAGAGAAUAAAAGCAGGCUGCUCCGCGCUAGCACUAGCAAGUUGCUAGAGUGGCCUGCCACAGUGUAAGUUUUGUUCUUUAGCUCUUUGCAAUAAAUCUUGCUACUGCCCACUCUUUGGGUUUACACUGCAUUUAUGAGCUGUAACACUCAUGGUGAAGAUUUACAGGUUCAGUCCUGAAGCCAGCGAGACAAAGAACCCACUGGGAAGAACAAACAACUCCAGACGCCCCAACUUAAGAGCUGUUAACACCCGAAGAUCUGCAGCUUCACUUUUGAGCCAGCGAGACCACGAACCCACCAGAAGGAAGAAACUCUGAACAGGCUGGAACGUCAGAAGGAACAAACUCAGGACAUGCCACCUUUAAGAACUGUAACACUCACUGUGAGGGUCUGCGGCUUCAUUCUUGAAGGCUGUGAGACCAAGAACCCACCAAUUUCGGACACACUGGGACCACCCUCGCUGACUGGAGAUAAGGAAACUGAGGCACACAAGGUCAGCUAACCUGCCCGAGGUCUCUAGCUAGUGACUGGAAGAGGUGUUCUCUGGAUAUUAUUUGAAUCUCAGUCUCGCUAUAUUUCUUCGUCAUGACUGUAACUUUCCCCCUGUAUUUCUAAAUAUUUUAAUCUCUUGAUCAUAUAGCAUACGUUGAUUUAAUAAAUCACUUUUACAUG